ACUCCUACGGGAGGCAGCAGUGGGGAAUAUUGCACAAUGGGCGCAAGCCUGAUGCAGCGACGCCGCGUGGGGGAUGAAGGCCUUCGGGUUGUAAACUCCUUUCGCUAGGGACGAAGCUUUGUUGUGACGGUACCUAGAUAAGAAGCACCGGCUAACUACGUGCCAGCAGCCGCGGUAAUACGUAGGGUGCGAGCGUUGUCCGGAAUUACUGGGCGUAAAGGCUCGUAGGUGGUUUGUCGCGUCGUCUGUGAAAUUCUGGGGCUUAACUCCGGGCGUGCAGGCGAUACGGGCAUAACUUGAGUGCUGUAGGGUAACUGGAAUUCCUGGUGUAGCGGUGAAAUGCGCAGAUAUCAGGAGGAACACCGAUGGCGAAGGCAGGUUACUGGGCAGUUACUGACGCUGAGGAGCGAAAGCAUGGGUAGCGACAGGAUUAGAUACCCUGGUAGACUGUCAU
rnacentral:rRNA from 1 species